rnacentral:lncRNA from 10 species
CUCUAAGGGUCUCCGCAAAGACGCACCCCCCUCAUAAGCGGAUUCUAGUCUCUGGGUUUCACUGCCAGCCUGCCCCAGAGCAGUGCUUGGCCCAACACCCUGCCAACGGGGUGAGCGGGCUUACAAACCGCUCAUGCGUGAAGGUUACGUAAAAACAAGCCGCCCAGCUCCCCUGCAGGCAGGCGGAUGGACAAACGGCACUGCUGGGACCCUGCUUGGCCAUGGGGGAAGGACACACACAGCCUGGGUGAGUCCCCGAAUCACUGUACCGAGUGGAAGAUGUCAGAGGAAACCACGUACGCACUGCAGGAGGCCAUUAUGCAAAGCUCUAGAAGAUGCAAAUUAACCUACAGUGACUGAAGGCAGAAAGAAAACAAAAAGCAGCCCAAGGCGAAAAAGUCGAUCCUGUGCCCUGAGCACAGGCAGUCCUGAGGUGCGAGCGGUUUCCCACCAGGCUCUUCUUGGCCUUUCGAGAACUUCAGCCCCUCUCUGCUGUUUCCUGUUGCUGGCAUCCACUUUCCCAUCUCACAAUAUUUUCUCCUGUCUGGUCUCCUGUAUCUGAAACCCACUGCUACGGGAUCUCCC